GUGCAUGUGUGGGAAUCUGACAGUCUGUUGUUGGUGGCUGACUUCCAGUAAGAAGUUCAAACAAAGGAUAUGUUAGAAAUUUUUUUUUACUUCUACCACUCAAUACAAGAAAACACAUAACCGUCACCAGUCUUCAUUUUCGCGGCAUUAAAUUACAGGUCAUUCUGUGUUAGCUAGCGGUUAGCUGAUGUUUGCUUGCUAGCUACAGUAACAUCAACCGGUGUUUGACUCAAAUUCAAAUAGCUGCAAUGAGAGAAGCUACCAAGAAGCUAGUGUAGUGUUCCUUAGCUGGCAAGGUAACAGAGGGUUCGUGUCUACCGUCUGAAGGCACUCAAUGCACGUAACUAACCCAGGUAGAAAAAUGGCAGAAAAAAGACGGACAUCAGACAUCACCAAAACUCAAAGCAGAGAAGGCAACAGAUGGCACACAGACAGCAGAGCUGGGGACAGAUGGGCAGGGACAAGGAGUCUCAGGAAGAACAGUCUGCACAACACCCAUGUAAUAUCUGCUGGUCAGUCAGCUGAGAUUAAGGUACACAUAUGGAGAGUGGAGCAUGGUUGAUUUUGAAGAUGCAGUUGCAAAUUGUUAUUGGACUGAAAGAGAGAGGCAUAAGUCCUCGGACACCACAGAAAGAGAGGAACGGGACAUAAGAAAAGUGAAGGUGGCGUCGCCACAGACAGGCUCUGGCAAGUUGGUCAAAAGAACUCUCUGCUGACGAAAAGCACCGAUUUGCAGGGGCAACUUGAAGACACGAUGUCUGCACCUGCACCGUAGAGACUAUUUUUACUGACUCUUCACCCCUGCUUCUCAAUAUACUUUUUGCACCGACACCCACCCACUCACUCAUUCACCCUUACAUAUACAUACACACAGAACAUUACCCUCUUGUUUUUACUACUCUUUAUUACUCAUAGUUUUUUUGAUAAAUGUCUUGAUAUGGUCUCCUUUUUGUUUUCUUGAGUAAGGGAGCUCCAAAAUGCAGGUGUUUCAGCCU